UACCAGCACCCCGAGUGGUCGGGACGUUUAUUGGGCCUAAAGCAUCCGUAGCCGGUUCUACAAGUCUUCCGUUAAAUCCAGCUGCUUAACAGAUGGGCUGCGGAAGAUACUAUGGAGCUAGGAGGCGGGAGAGGCAAGCGGUACUCGAUGGGUAGGGUAAAAUCCGUUGAUCCAUUGAAGACCACCAGUGGCGAAGGCGGCUUGCCAGAACGCGCUCGACGGUGAGGGAUGAAAGCUGGGGAGCAAACCGG
rnacentral:rRNA from 1 species